AAGCUCGUAGUUGAAUUUCGGGGUUAGUAGGUUGGUCAUGCCUCUGGUAUGUACUGGUCUCACUGACUCCUCCUUCCUUAUGAACCGUAAUGCCAUUAAUUUGGUGUUGCGGGGAAUUUGGACUGUUACUUUGAAAAAAUUAGAGUGUUUAAAGCAAGCUAACGCUUGAAUACAUUAGCAUGGAAUAAUGAAAUAGGACGUUCGAUCUUAUUUUGUUUGGUUUUCUUAGGUAUUGACGUAAUGAUUAAAGGUAGUAGUUAGGGUCGGUGGUAGGACGGGGCCGGGUCGGUCGGAACGGACGG
rnacentral:rRNA from 1 species